GGGCACCACCAGGAGUGGAGCCUGCGGCUUAAUUUGACUCAACACGGGGAAACUCACCAGGUCCAGACACAAUAAGGAUUGACAGAUUGAGAGCUCUUUCUUGAUUUUGUGGGUGGUGGUGCAUGGCCGUUCUUAGUUGGUGGAGUGAUUUGUCUGCUUAAUUGCGAUAACGAACGAGACCUUAACCUACUAAAUAGUGGUGCUAGCAUUUGCUGGUUAUCCACUUCUUAGAGGGACUAUCGGUUUCAAGCCGAUGGAAGUUUGAGGCAAUAACAGGUCUGUGAUGCCCUUAGACGUUCUGGGCCGCACGCGCGCUACACUGACGGAGCCAGCGAGUCUAACCUUGGCCGAGAGGUCUUGGUAAUCUUGUGAAACUCCGUCGUGCUGGGGAUAGAGCAUUGUAAUUAUUGCUCUUCAACGAGGAAUUCCUAGUAAGCGCAAGUCAUCAGCUUGCGUUGAUUACGUCCCUGCCCUUUGUACACACCGCCCGUCGCU
rnacentral:rRNA from 1 species